CUUGCACUUCAUACAGCUCUUCCAGGAAUCAAGACUGAAGCUUUUGCUCAGACUUGGGUUCAAAGCCGCAGAGUUAAUUAGAACUUCUUCACGUUUUGAUAGGAAUACGAGAACUGUAUCCCUUCCCAGGACUGGAUGGAUCUCAAAACAGCCCGAGGCAGUGAUGUGGACGGGAGUUUUGAUCUGGAAGUCUCCUGGCAUCCUCCAUCCUCUAAAGUGAGCCAGAGUCAGAAAGGAGGAAAACAGAGCAUCUGAUCCAUUCUUGGCCGGCCUCUCUUGCUGAUAAUGUCAUUGGCUACAUGGCAACAGGAGAAAUAAGGUGUGCAUGCUAAGUCGCUCCAGGCGUGUCCAACUCUUUGAGACCCUAUGGACCGUAGCCUUCCAGGCUCCUCUGUCUACAGGAUUCUCCAGGCAAGAAUACUGGAGUGGGUUGCCAUGCCCUCCUCCAGGGGAUCUUUUCAACCCAGCAAUUGAACCCACAUCUCCUGCAUUGCAGGCGAUCUCUCUACUAACUGAGCCAGCAGGGAAGCCUGACUCUCUACAGUAGGUGUAAAGAGGCUGUUGAGGAAAUUGAGGCUGGAGAGGCUGGCUUCCACAGCUUUCCUUUCUACUGGGGUCUCUGCUCCGAGCCAGCCAGCAGUUCUCUGCACACAUCGACAGCCCCUGCCAAAGGGGCCUGGCUCUUGGUGAAUAAUCUCUCCUUGAUCUCCUUCACUCCUCAUCUACUUUCACAUCCUGAGCAAAAAAAUGUGUCCCUGGAUUCCUCCUGCCAGCUCCAUCUGUGAGGCAUGUGAGCCGAUGUUUGAAUAAGAAUGACUAAAGAGGAAAGCGGUUUUAUGAACUUCAGACUGUGAACUCAAGGAAGAGAGUGAGUCAGGCCUCCACAUUCUUGAAAUACUUUCAGGAGGCUCAGUGACUUCAGACAAUAAGAACCUGAGGCAGAGCUCUCUGGACCUCCUUGGGAGGCCUCCCAUGAGGAAGAAUGCAAGGGCGGCCCCUGGGCACCUGGUUCCUGUACACCAUGCUGUGUGGGGUUGAAGGCUGUGGCCAGGCAGAGUAGCCCCUGACUACUAAGGGCUGCUGUGCUUCUGCCCAGGCUAUAUCCUCAGCCUAGAAUGCCUUCCCCUAAUUCCUUGUCCGCUUGUCUUCCGGGGCUCAGAGGCUGUCUCCUCCUUGGGCUGCUCCAGUCAGAAGCAGAGGCUCUGUGCCCUGCCUCCACAGGGCUUUGUGCCUGCUUGUCACCCCCAAACUCCGUGAUCCUAGAGAAACAUGCUGACUUACACCUUACACAAUACACUCCUUACACCUAUUGAAGUUGGCGGCAGCUCUGGGGUGGAGGGAAAAUCCUGCCCUGGGAGGUGGGAGAUGUGGGUUCUGGUCCCAUCUCUGGCCUUGGCUAUGCUGCGUAACCUCCCAUUCCUGGGGAAUUAAAAUGAUUUGUUGUAUAUGCAUUACCAUAUGUAAAAUGGAUAGCUAGUGGGAAGUUGCUAUACAACACAGGGAGCUCAGCCUGGUGCUCUGUGACAGCCUAGGGAUGUGGGAGGAAGAUUGAAGAGGGAGGGGACAUAUGUAUACUCUUACGACUGAUUCACAUUGUUGUAUGAUAGAAAUCAACACAACAUUGGAAAGCAAUUAUCCUCCAAUUAAAAAUAAAUGUAAAAAGAAAAAGGAAAAAAGAAAAGGUGCAUGAGGAAAUUUUAAACUGGUGGUGGAUAUUUUUAUUAUCUUGAUUGUGGUGAUGGUUUCAUGGGUG
ensembl:lncRNA